rnacentral:lncRNA from 1 species
AUGUACUAGUGAAGUUUCUCGCAUAUGCGUUGCGGAAUGAGAUCAUGUUGUUUUUGUGGUAUGAGCCGACAGUUAAUAUGUUUAGCUUAGAGCACAGUUGCCAAGUCUACGCACGUAGGCCACCAGAGACAUGACGCAAGCGACAACGUAGGAGAAUACAAGGGAAAGAGGAGGUGCGACAAUCUCCGCAGCAGCUGUAUCAUUAUAUUUCCCACUAAUUAUUUUUAUUUUCUUCAUUGUGACAUGUUCGACUCAUCGUUGAGGAAUCCCGUAGUAUUAUAUCUGCGUCAUACAUCUAGUGAGGUGGGAAAGGAUGGCGCUUUUGAUCACGCCACUGAGGUGUGUGUAACCCUAUUCUCCAUUCGCCUCUUCCAAGAAAUGACUUGGGGGGAAUGGCAUUCCAUCGUUUGAGAGUGCCUCCAACAUAACAAUCUCCCAGAUCUUUAUACUCUUAUCUUAUGAUUUUUUUCUAGAAAAAAUUAUCUCAAGAAUUUGUAAAUAUAAAUAUGUACGUGGAUAAAGAGAUGGUAGCUACAUAAAGUAGAGUCACGUAGGUCGGCUCUGUCGCCACGAUGGCUGGCGUGGACAGAUUUGUCCUUGGACCGAAGGUAGGCGCAGUCGAGUAAGUAUGGAGAGGACAUGGCAACGUAGCGUUGUUCCCCUUCUUUGUUCGCCGGCCGGUUUUGCCAGACAGGGUGUCGCCAGCUCGGUCGUAGUCAGCCUGGUCGUUCAAGUAGUACGGGUUGUUGAAGGGGGAAAACGUGUAAGGGGAAGACACUACGAAGGCAAGUGAGACCGUGGGGCACCGUCGAAGAGUAAAGGGGGUCGAACUCUCCGCGUGGAUCGGUCGAGGACCUACAUUCACGCGGGUAGCCAUGUUUGAAAACUCCCGUCCCUGUGGAAUGUGGUCCGCGAGAGCCCCUUGGGUGUACCACCACCUACGGACACUCCCUAGCAUAUCGUCUUCUAGUUCCAGUUUUUUAGUUUUGUCUCACCUAUUCGGUAGAGCCGAGGCGCCUCAAAUGUGCUCUGGAUAUCGUUAGUAAAAGUAAGACAUGAACAACUGCGUUCAAAUUAAAAAUAAUGAGAUCCAAACGAUCACGAAUUUUAUUUCUACCCUGGACGUGGGCCAACAGGUCUCAGAACCAGAGGAUGCCGUUUUUUUUCUUUUAAUUUAACUGGUGGGGCAUUUCAACCUUCUCUGUUGGAUUCUAAUAAUUUUACGGCUUAAGGAGGAGCAAAGAAACUUGGCACAUUUUCUACACACACUGAAGGUCAAAAUUUGGAGUUUUGUUACCUGUUCAUUAAACGCCACGCUGUCUGGAAUAUAAUCCAUGACAACAACGACGACAACAGUCCAGCAGUAGCACGGAAAUCAUGAGAAUAAAUCGAUGAAAAACAAUAAAAUGAUGAAGAAUCAUUACCGGUUCACAAGGUCCAAGGCAAUACUUGACAUUACACUGGAAUAUAACACCAUAAGAUUCUGUAAACCUAAAUGCUUCAUAAACUGAUUGUAAAGCAUUACGGUCUGAUGUGAAAGGUGGGAAAAUAGAUGUAUCAACUGGGCAACUGUAAAGAAAAUAAUUAUUUUUUAUGAUACUCGAA